rnacentral:rRNA from 1 species
AUUGAAGAGUUUGAUCAUGGCUCAGAUUGAACGCUGGCGGCAGGCCUAACACAUGCAAGUCGAACGGUAACAGGAAGCAGCUUGCUGCUUCGCUGACGAGUGGCGGACGGGUGAGUAAUGUCUGGGGAACUGCCUGAUGGAGGGGGAUAACUACUGGAAACGGUAGCUAAUACCGCAUAAUGUCGCAAGACCAAAGAGGGGGACCUUCGGGCCUCUUGCCAUCGGAUGUGCCCAGGUGGGAUUAGCUUGUUGGUGGGGUAACGGCUCACCAAGGCGACGAUCCCUAGCUGGUCUGAGAGGAUGACCAGCCACA